rnacentral:rRNA from 1 species
UAUUGGUCAAUGGACGCAAGUCUGAACCAGCCAUGCCGCGUGGAGGAUGAAGGUCCUCUGGAUUGUAAACUUCUUUUAUCUGGGACGAAAAAGGGCCUUUCCAGGCCAACUGACGGUACCAGAUGAAUAAGCACCGGCUAACUCCGUGCCAGCAGCCGCGGUAAUACNGGAGGGUGCAAGCGUUAUCCGGAUUCACUGGGUUUAAAGGGUGCGUAGGUGGGCAGGUAAGUCAGUGGUGAAAUCUUUGGGCUUAACCCGAAAACUGCCAUUGAUACUAUUUGUCUUGAAUAUUGUGGAGGUCAGCGGAAUAUGUCAUGUAGCGGUGAAAUGCUUAGAUAUGACAUAGAACACCAAUUGCGAAGGCAGCUGGCUACACAUAUAUUGACACUGAUGCACGAAAGCGUGGGGAUCAAACAGGAUUAGAUACCCUGGUAGUCCACGCCCUAAACGAUGGAUACUCGACAUACGCGAUAUACUGUGUGUGUCUGAGCGAAAGCAUUAAGUAUCCCACCUGGGAAGUACGAUCGCAAGAUUGAAACUCAAAAAAAUUGACGGA